AUGGUGCUACUUAAAAGGAGUACUGGGGACAAUGUGCUGCUGUUUGCAAUGCAGAGGUGUGUUUUUCUGAGCUUCUGGAACAUGACAGUCUACACCUGCUCUCCUGCAUCUUCUCAUUCGUGGAGAAUGAUUUUGGAACCAUCUCUUUGCUUCAAAAGAUGGCUUCCUGAGAAUGAGGUACUCCAAAGCAGGAACAGGAACUGUACAGUGGUGUAUGGUACUGCACCGGUGACCACACCAAACAAUUCAGAUGGCGUGAGGUGCCCCCAGACACCACUUCCUGAGGAGCUUCCCAAGUAAGGUGGCCUGCAAACAGCUGUGAGAUCAAAUAGUUGGAGGUCACCUCCCUUCUGCAGAGAACUGGAGGGAUGGGUGAUUUAUGCCUUCUUUAUUCAACUGGCACAACAUUAAUGUGUAGAGAUGGAUAUAACAUGCUGAAUUUGAAAGGAAUUUUUUUCUCCAUGUUUUGUAUUAGGACAACUCUGGAAAUACUGUUUCUGGUUUUGCUUUUGUUCUUCCCAGCUUUUUAGGGAAUAUUUGAAGAAAAGAACUGAGGCUGUGCUCAUGACCAUUGAGGUAGAACUGAAUUUUUCCAGCAUAGAAAAGGAGCAGCUACAGAUCUUACUGCAGGGACUAAUAAAACUUUUGUCUUUUUCCUUCUUCUUCCCUGG
rnacentral:lncRNA from 1 species